rnacentral:rRNA from 1 species
GGAUUUAUUGGGCGUAAAGCGAGCGCNGGCGGUUAGAUAAGUCUGAAGUUAAAGGCUGUGGNUUAACCAUAGUACGCUUUGGAANCUGUUUAACUUGAGUGCAGAAGGGGAGAGUGGAAUUCCAUGUGUAGCGGUGAAAUGCGUAGAUAUAUGGAGGAACACCGGUGGCGAAAGCGGCUCUCUGGUCUGUAACUGACGCUGAGGCUNGAAAGCGUGGGGAGCGAACAGGAUUAGAUACCCUGGUAGUNCACGCCGUAAACGAUGAGUGCUAGGUGUUAGGCCCUUUCCGGGGCUUAGUGCCGCAGCUAACGCAUUAAGCACUCCGCCUGGGGAGUACGACCGCAAGGUUGAAACUCAAAGGAAUUGACGGGGGCCCGCACAAGCGGUGGAGCAUGUGGUUUAAUUCGAAGCAACGCGAAGAACCUUACCAGGUCUUGACAUCCCGAUGCCCGCUCUAGAGAUAGAGUUUUACUUCGGUACAUCGGUGACAGGUGGUGCAUGGUUGUCGUCAGCUCGUGUCGUGAGAUGUUGGGUUAANNNNNNCAACGAGCGCAACCCUUAUUGUUAGUUGCCAUCAUUCAGUUGGGCACUCUAGCGAGACUGCCGGUAAUAAACCGGAGGAAGGUGGGGAUGACGUCAAAUCAUCAUGCCCCUUAUGACCUGGGCUACACACGUGCUACAAUGGCUGGUACAACGAGUCGCAAGUCGGUGACGGCAAGCUAAUCUCUUAAAGCCAGUCUCAGUUCGGAUUGUAGGCUGCAACUCGCCUACAUGAAGUCGGAAUCGCUAGUAAUCGCGGAUCAGCACGCCGCGGUGAGUACGUUCCCGGGCCU